GAUGAACGCUAGCUACAGGCUUAACACAUGCAAGUCGAGGGGAAACGACAUCGAAAGCUUGCUUUUGAUGGGCGUCGACCGGCGCACGGGGGAGUAACGCGUAUCCAACCUGCCCACCACUUGGGGAUAACCUUGCGAAAGUAAGACUAAUACCCAAUGAUAUCUCUAGAAGACAUCUGAAAGAGAUUAAAGAUUUAUCGGUGAUGGAUGGGGAUGCGUCUGAUUAGCUUGUUGGCGGGGUAACGGCCGACCAAGGCAACGAUCAGUAGGGGUUCUGAGAGGAAGGUCCCCCACAUUGGAACGGAGACACGGGCAAAAAUCCUACGGGAGGAAGCAGUGAGGAAGAUUGGUCAAUGGACGAGAGUCUAAACCAGCCAAGUAGCGUGCAGGAAGCCGGCUGUAUGGGUUGUAAACUGCUUUUAUAAGGGAAUAAAGUGAGUCUCGUGAGACUUUUUGCAGGUACCUUAUGAAUAAGGACCGGCUAAUUCCGUG
rnacentral:rRNA from 1 species